rnacentral:rRNA from 1 species
AGGACGAACGCUGGCGGCGUGCUUAACACAUGCAAGUCGAGCGGAAAGGCCCUUCGGGGUACUCGAGCGGCGAACGGGUGAGUAACACGUGAGUAACCUGCCCCUAGCUCUGGGAUAGCUCCGGGAAACCGGGAUUAAUACCAGAUACGACCACUUUAGACAUCUGUCGUGGUGGAAAGGAUUCCGGCUAGGGAUGGGCUCGCGGCCUAUCAGCUUGUUGGUGGGGUAACGGCCUACCAAGGCGACGACGGGUAGCC